rnacentral:rRNA from 1 species
CCUACGGGAGGCAGCAGUGGGGAAUAUUGCACAAUGGGCGAAACCCUGAUGCAGCAACGCCGCGUGAGCGAUGAAGUCUUUCGGGUUGUAAAGCUCUGUCCUCAGAGAAGAUAAUGACGGUACCUGAAUAAGAAGCCCCGGCUAACUACGUGCCAGCAGCCGCGGUAAUACGUAGGGGGCAAGCGUUAUCCGGAUUGACUGGGCGUAAAGGGUGCGUAGGCGGCAGCGCAAGUCUGAAGUGAAAAGCCAAGGCUCAACCUUUGUACGGCUUUGGAAACUGUGGAGCUUGAGUGCAGGAGAGGGAAGGGGAAUUCCUAGUGUAGCGGUGAAAUGCGGAGAGAUUAGGAGGAACACCAGUGGCGAAGGCGGCUUACUGGACUGUAACUGACGCUGAGGCACGAAAGCGUGGGGAGCAAACAGGAUUAGAUACCCUGGUAGUC